UGCGUAGGCGGGCUAAUAAGUCAGUGGUGAAAUCUCUCGGCUCAACCGGGAAACUGCCAUUGAUAUUGUUAGUCUUGAGUUCGGUUGAGGUAGGCGGAAUGUGUAAUGUAGCGGUGAAAUGCUUAGAUAUUACACAGAACACCAAUUGCGUAGGCAGCUUACUAGACCGACACUGACGCUGAGGCACGAAAGCGUGGGGAGCGAACAGGAUUAGAUACCCUGGUAGUCC
rnacentral:rRNA from 1 species